rnacentral:rRNA from 1 species
UGGCCUUGACAUAGUAAGAACCUAAUAGAGAUAUAAGGGUGCUAGUUUACUAGAGCUUACAUACAGGUGCUGCACGGCUGUCGUCAGCUCGUGUCGUGAGAUGUUGGGUUAAGUCCCGCAACGAGCGCAACCCUCGUGUCUAGUUACUAACAGAGGGCAUAUAAAAAUACUUAUUUCACAGAUUUUAAGUUAGAUAAGUUAGAUAGUGAUGAUUUUUAUUUUUGAAAACUUACAUCGUAAGUUGAUAAAAGGAAAAUUGUCAAUAACAACUUAGAUGACUUACUAAAUAACUUCUUACUUCGUUAGAUAGAUUUGAAGCAGAAAACUGCUCCAUCAUCUCUCUUCCUUGUAAUAAGUCAUUUAUUAAAUCAAAAAUCAAGAAAAGAAGUUUUUUUAUAUGCCCUGCUGAGGACUCUAGACAGACUGCCUGGGUAACCAGGAGGAAGGUGAGGACGACGUCAAGUCAUCAUGGCCCUUACGGCCAGGGCUACACACGUGCUACAAUGGGGUAUACAAAGAGCCGCAAUACCGCGAGGUGGAGCAAAUCUUAAAAAUAUCUCCCAGUUCGGAUAGCAGUCUGCAACUCGACUGCUUGAAGUUGGAAUCGCUAGUAAUCGUAGAUCAGCAAUGCUACGGUGAAUACGUUCCCGGGUCU